CAUGAACGUGAAGGAUUAAAUUGAAGAAAUAACAAAGGGAUAAGGUUUCCUAUCACUUCCUUCCCGUGAGUGGACUGGAAUCAAUUGAUUCCUUGAUUGCUCCUUUUCUACACUGGUACAGCCGCCUCUGUGAGACGCUGGAGGAUUCUCCUUGCAGUAGUGGCGUAGUCUCCUUGCUGGGAGGGGCAAGGGUGGAGGGGCUGUAAGAUGUGCGCCACGCGCCAUCCUGCUUGGAGUCGUCGUUCACCGCGACGGGGCCGAGGUGGGGGCCACCACCCACCGUUCUUGAGGAAGGGUGACUAGAAGGAGUAGUAACUGGAUGCCGCCACCCGUUUCUUCACUUGAGGCAGAAAACCGAAAGUCAUGCCUAUGCCGGAGUUCGCAUCCACGCGCGUGCAAUGACGAGGACGACGAAGCAACCAACUUCUCCCGCCAUCUUUAGGGGCAAUUGCAGAUCGCCGGAGUGGCAUCUGCUCUCGGUGGAGGCUAGCGUGGAUGCGUCCUGCGGCAUGAAGGCCACAUCCAGCGCCAUGGGCGACUGGUUUUCUUCUUACCUUUUGCCUGUUUUUUUCCCUUGGGUUCUUCUCGAUCUCGAAAUCGCUCAGAUGAAGAGUGUGUUGAUAACGUGUGAAGAGUAAAAGAAGAGAAGGAGAAAGAUAGAAUGAACAGUAAUCUCACAUUGAUAGAAAUUGGGGAUAUUUAUACCCAGUACA